rnacentral:pre_miRNA from 1 species
AAAAAGGCAAACCCUGGAUUUCCGUGCCAACGUUUGACUAUCCGUCUUAUAUGAUUUUUUUUAUAAUUAGUAUUUUCAUUGUUGUUAGAUGAUAAAACAUGAUUAAUACUUUAUGCGUGACUUAUCUUUUUAAUUUUUUUCAUAAUUUUUUUUAAAUAAGACGGACGGUCAAAUAUUGGACACGGAAACCAGGGUUUGUCUUUUU